UGGGGAAUCUUGGACAAUGGGGGCAACCCUGAUCCAGCCAUGCCGCGUGAGUGAUGAAGGCCUUAGGGUCGUAAAACUCUUUCGCUAGGGAAGAUAAUGACGGUACCUAGUAAAGAAGUCCCGGCUAACUCCGUGCCAGCAGCCGCGGUAAUACGGAGGGGACUAGCGUUGUUCGGAAUUACUGGGCGUAAAGAGUUCGUAGGCGGACUAGCAAGUUAGAGGUGAAAUCCCAGGGCUCAACCUUGGAACUGCCUUUAAAACUAUUGGUCUAGAGUUCGAGAGAGGUGAGUGGAAUUCCAAGUGUAGAGGUGAAAUUCGUAGAUAUUUGGAGGAACACCAGUGGCGAAGGCGGCUCACUGGCUCGAUACUGACGCUGAGGUGCGAAAGUGUGGGGAGCAAACAGGAUUAGAUACCCUGGUAGUCCACACCGUAAACGAUGAAUGCCAGUCGUCGGGUAGCAUGCUAUUCGGUGACACACCUAACGGAUUAAGCAUUCCGCCUGGGGAGUACGGUCGC
rnacentral:rRNA from 1 species